rnacentral:tRNA from 1 species
GCGGUUGUAGCUCAGUCGGUCAGAGCGUCGUCUUGCCAUGGCGAAGGCCCCGGGUUCGAGUCCCGGUAACCGCUC